UGUGUUUCGUGUCAUGCCAAGACCGAGACUGCAAGACUUUUCUGUAGAUCGUUAGAUGACUCUUCUUGUAGAAUGCUUCUUGCACUGAGUCUGGUGUACGCGCCCUCUUAGCGCAACGCGUAAUUUCCCUAACGCCUACUUUUCUCGAACAUGUGCAAGAAUUUUCUGCAGAUCGUUAGAUGACUCGUCUUGUAGAAUGCUUCUUGCAAUGAGUCUGAUGUACGCGCCCUCUUAGCGCAACGCGUAAUUUCCCUAACGCCUACUUUUCUCGAACAUGUGCAAUUUUGUGUAUCAUUUGUCAUUUGUUUUGUGAGUGUUGUACAAGAAAGUUGAUUUUUUCCUACGCGUCUUUUAUAAAACAAUAAAAGUUUUGAGGACCACGAAAUAGCUAUGUUGGAUGAUAAAAAUAGAAACUACAAUGCAUUGUCCAGGGCGAAGAAUAUAGAAAGCGGCGAAAUAAAUUAAUUUUUUCUUUUAGCUAUUAGAUUAUUUAGUUAUAAGUAAAACUGUUUAGAUAAUAUAUAAUUUUAAGUACUCAUUGUUAUAGUUUAAAUACAUUUAAUUUGAAGUACAAUAAACAUUUUAUUUACUGCAUAUA